rnacentral:rRNA from 1 species
UACGGAGGGGGCUAGCGUUGUUCGGAAUUACUGGGCGUAAAGCGCACGUAGGCGGAUAUUUAAGUCAGGGGUGAAAUCCCGGGGCUCAACCCCGGAACUGCCUUUGAUACUGGGUAUCUGGAGGUCGAGAGAGGCGAGUGGAAUUCCGAGUGUAGAGGUGAAAUUCGUAGAUAUUCGGAGGAACACCAGUGGCGAAGGCGGCUCGCUGGCUCGAUACUGACGCUGAGGUGCGAAAGCCAGGGGAGCAAACGGG